CAGAGAACAUCGCCCUCACGGGUGACUCUCCAACCCUAUGUUAUACAACCUUUGUUGCUUUGGCGAGCCGCUUCGGCCGCUGGCUUCGGCUAGCGAGUGCUCGCCAGAGGACCCAAAACCCUGAUUAUUAGUGUCGUCUGAGUACUAUAUAAUAGUUA
rnacentral:misc_RNA from 1 species